GGGUUUGUAGCUCAGUUGGUUAGAGUGCGCGCCUGAUAAGUGCGAGGUCGGUGGUUCAAGUCCACCCAGACCCACCA
rnacentral:tRNA from 7 species